rnacentral:lncRNA from 1 species
GUCAAAGCGACACGAAUGGCCCCGUCCCAAAAAGUUGAAAAAUCUGCAAUUUCAAUAUAAACACAUGUGGACACAAACAUGAUGGUAGUCGCACAUAUCAAACAUCAGCUCAAAAUCUGGAGGCGUAUAGAAAAAAAAUCUGUAUAACUGUGAUUUUCAAUAAUUUAUCAAAGUCCAAAGCCAGUAAUUUCAGCAAAAAUAAGCAGAGCAGAAC